rnacentral:rRNA from 1 species
AGCGAACGCUGGCGGCGUGCCUAACACAUGCUAGUCGAACGUGAAAAGGGAAACCUGAGUAAAGUGGCGUACGGGUGAGUAACGCGUAGGUAAUCUACCCCAGAAUCUGGAAUAACCUGCCGAAAGGCGGGCUAAUACUGGAUAGAGCGAGGGAACUCGUAAGAGAGUUUUUCGGGAAAGGGAGCCCGCAAGGGCCUUCGUUCUGGGAUGAGCCUGCGUCUCAUUAGCUAGUUGGUAAGGUAACGGCUUACCAAGGCGAUGAUGAGUAGCUGGUCUGAGAGGAUGAUCAGCCACACUGGAACUGAAACACGGUCCAGACUCCUACGGGAGGCAGCAGUGGGGAAUCUUGCGCAAUGGACGAAAGUCUGACGCAGCCACGCCGCGUGAGUGAAGAAGGCCUUCGGGUUGUAAAGCUCUGUCGGAUGGGACGAACAUCUUCAUAGUGAAUAGCUAUGAGGACUGACGGUACCAUCAAAGGAAGCACCGGCUAACUCCGUG